CCUGAAUGGCUUAUCCUCAUUUGACUCUGGGUCUGCAGAUGUGAAAUAACCCCAUGAUGCCCUGAGAAAAGGCAGGAAUGGUAAGCCAGGCUUCAGGAUGUCAAGCACACACACAGGUGUCCCCAUCUCAGCCUCAGCCCUCUGCUGCUACCUGCUUAUAGGCUGAAGGGAAGGAAGGCUCUGUUACCACUAAUUGGCCACCUUGUAAGCCUCUGCUUAGAGGGAGUGUUUGCAGGCUCAGCAACAGCUGUAAGAGGGGAAAUGGCCUUUCUCUCUCCUUCAGUUCUCAGCAGCUGCAAGAGGGAUCUCCUUGGAUUUUUCACCUUUAUUAAGAACAAACCCAAACAUCAACAGCAAGAAAUGUUAGUGCUUUCUUGUGCAGCAGAUGUUACUCUCUUGGGAAUUUGGUCACAGGGUUACCAUCUGCUCCUCUGGUGUACGAGAGCCAUGCCCAAGCAUCCCUCUGAGAGCUGAUGUCUGGGUGCUUCGACCACCUGGUGCCGUGCUCUGCUGUCUCUGUUGGGUUUUGUUACAGAAGUGGUGGAAUGACUCCAAAAGAUGUGCCUGAAAAGCACAGGCAGCACGUUCUCCACUUUGAUGAGGGAAUCACCAACGAGAAGGGUAAUGAGAGAUGUAAGCAGAUAAAAUUGCUGGCUGUUCUGGCUCACAUACACCAGAUUUGGAAAAGGGUUCCUCCAUCUGUAGUGAACAAUCAGCACCAGGGCUACUCCAGUCUAUCAGUGAACAUCUGCUGAAGGGGCCCUUGCUUUGCCCCACAGCACUCUCUGGGUCUGGGUAGAUGAGACUUUUGAGGUAGGCCUUGCAGCACCUCCUUUUCUGCAGCCUUGAGGAUUGUGUCUGUUCCCCAGAGCUGGAGACACUACGGCCAUUUCUUCUCAUUCCUCUGGUAGAAAAUGCCCCCCAGAAGGGAAACUACUUGUUUCUCACCUGAUCAACCACUUCACUUCAUCUGAAGCCAAAUGUUUUCAAUCUUCUGUAAAUUCCAAAAUACGUCAAUCUCAGAGGGACUCACAACAACAUUUGCAUUUUUUUUCAAUUCCAUAAGGGAACAAAAUGAAUUAAUCAUCUCCUGGGCCCACCCCCUCUCUUGCUGCAGGCAUGGUGGAAGAGCAUCACAGUGCUGCCUCCGUCAAAGCCCUUCCUCUGGGGCAUGACCGCCGUCUCAGCUUCCAGGGCAGCCUUGGGAAGACUGGCGGGGGGAUAUGUGGCACUGCUGAAAGAGCCCAAGGAAGGCCAUAGUGAAGGUCUGCCCUUGGUUGCUCUCCUCCUCCCACGGCUGCUGCCCUUGGCUCUCCAGCUGCCCUGUGGCUGUGAUGAGCACGUUACAGGGACGCACUCACCUCUGCUGUAAAUGUCAAACCUGUGCUUUUACUCAUCCAUCCUUCCUCCCCUCAUCUGCUAUUCAGCCCAUGACAAAGCUCUUCUCAGGAUGGAUAGAUGAGGAAGGAGGAACAAACUGUCCUCUAACAAGCGAGGCACGUAAAGCUGUGACUGCAGCUAAUAAGUGCAUGAAAGACGUAAUUUCGCUGCCAGCACACAGUCCCCAUGCAGGGACAAUGCCUCUGCAAAGCCUGCUGGCAGACACUCCAGCCAGAGACAGCUGCACAGAACAUCCUUAUGGGGUGUGGAGAGGAGGGAAUGACACGUCUCUGCUCUGCAAUUAGGGCUCUCAUUUUGUCAUUUCUCUUCCCUCUUUGUGGAAGCUGGCACAGUGCUUUGCUUGUUCCCAUCUCCCACCCCCACAGUAGGGCUGCACAGUGUGUGAUGGCCUCUCUGCGGGUUGGGGGGCCCACCACCCUGCCUGCUCUCCCAUUUGCCCAAACGCUGUUUCUGGGAUGGCUGUGCUUUCAGCCCUGUGCCAAGGAUUCCUUGUCUUUGUUUGUUCUGUGGUCUUAGCAGGGCUGCCCAAGCCUUACCCCAUUCAUUAUUUAAUGAUUUAAUUUUAUUUUAUUGAUGAUACUCUCCUCUGACCUGUGUGAUUUAAUGUAUUCUGCUGGAGGCCCUGUAUUGUAACCCAUAUUUCCCAGGUCUUUUCCUUUUCAACCUUUUGUUAUCUGGGUUCUCCAAAGCCCCGAACUUUGAACAUAUGGGGUUUGCACUGCUCUGCAGUGACUCUGCGUGCAGCUUCUGGAUGUGACUGAGCUGGUAUGAUGCACAGCUCAGCAGAUUUCACAGAGAUUAAAACCCUGCAAAGAAAUCACAUCAUACAAACUUUCCUAUCCCAUUACAUGGACAUGCUGCAGGUUUUCUCUGUGCUUCCGUGAGAUGCUAUAGCACAUCAUCUCUCCUAAAGCAUUCACACGCAAAGAUCAUCUGAAGGCAGUACUGCACUGCUCAUGUCCUAAGCAAGGAGUCACUGAGCUGAGUCAGUCAGUGUCAGUUGCACAGUCUGACAUGCUUCCAUCUGAACUUUUAGGGCCCAAUUGUUGUUUACACUGAGUGGUUUCUUCCUGUAUGCUGAAAUCAGCAGGAUUACUCAUGUUGUUUGGUUAGAAAAUCUUAAAAAACAACACCACAGGUUAUGGCAGGUCAGGAUACAAUCAGAGGAUUGAAGUGCAGGAAGAAGUGCUGGGCAUGUAAACAGAGCUGGUGAUGAAAGAUGCCUUCACACAACCUUUCCUUGGUCAUGUGUGCUUCCACAUUAUUAGAGCCCUGGAGCAGGCCAGUGACUCCAAGCUGGAGUGGGACACAGGCUGGGCUAGAGAGAGGGCAUCCACUGGGCACCUAGGGAAUGGGAAAACACACAGGUUUUGGAGAGCAGGAAGCUGGAUACAGUGCUGGUCUUACAUUUUCUUUCCCAUAAUGAAACUUUCAGAAUUGCUGUAUUCAUAGUUUUUCUUUGGUUUCUUUCUUUUUUCUUUUUUCCCUUUCUUUCUAGGUAAGUUCUUUUCAUGUGUAUAAAAACUUCUUCUGCCGUAUUUGCAGGCUUACCAGCACACUUGCUUUGUCUCUCAGCCAAGCGGCAGGAACAACUCAGUUCUGACAGCUCGGAUCUCUCUUGUGUGGGUUUUUCCCUUUUUCCUGAAUUCCCACUUCAGCAACAUCUUCCUGGUGAUGUGUUGCCUGCUACUGAGCAACGUCCCAGAGGACAUCAUCCACAGACCUCAGCCAGAAGGACUACCCCCUCUCUCCAUCAGGACACGGUGCAUUUUGUCAGAGUAGCACUCUUCCCCACGCUGAUGUAGAUCUGACAUUUUUGAGGAGUAGCUCGGGAAGGCUUUAACCUGGCCAGAUCUAGGGCAAGAGACCCCUGGGGACAGCAGACUGGGUCCCAGACUUCUGAUGCACUUGUGCCAGAGCAG